rnacentral:rRNA from 1 species
GAUCUGGCUCAGGAUGAACGCUAGCGACAGGCUUAACACAUGCAAGUCGAGGGGCAGCACGGUGUAGCAAUACACUGGUGGCGACCGGCGCACGGGUGAGUAACACGUGUGCAACCAACCCCGUACCGGGAGAUAACCCGCGGAAACGUGGACUAACAUCCCAUGAUACUCGAGAGCCGCAUGGCUCUCGAUUUAAAAUUCCGGUGGUACGGGACGGGCACGCGCGACAUUAGGUAGUUGGCGGGGUAACGG